rnacentral:rRNA from 1 species
UACGAAGGGGGCUAGCGUUGCUCGGAAUCACUGGGCGUAAAGCGCACGUAGGCGGAUUGUUAAGUCAGGGGUGAAAUCCUGGAGCUCAACUCCAGAACUGCCUUUGAUACUGGCGAUCUUGAGUCCGGGAGAGGUGAGUGGAACUGCGAGUGUAGAGGUGAAAUUCGUAGAUAUUCGCAAGAACACCAGUGGCGAAGGCGGCUCACUGGCCCGGUAUUGACGCUGAGGCGCGAAAGCGUGGGGAGCAAACAGG